rnacentral:rRNA from 1 species
CCUACGGGUGGCAGCAGUGAGGAAUAUUGGUCAAUGGGCUUACGCCUGAACCAGCCAAGUCGCGUGAGGGAAGACUGCCCUAUGGGUUGUAAACCUCUUUUGUCAGGGAGCAAUUGGCGCUACGUGUAGCGUUAUCAAGAGUACCUGAAGAAAAAGCAUCGGCUAACUCCGUGCCAGCAGCCGCGGUAAUACGGAGGAUGCGAGCGUUAUCCGGAUGUAUUGGGUUUAAAGGGUGCGUAGGUGGAAUGCCAAGUCAGCGGUAAAAUCGCGGGGCUCAACCUCGCUCCGCCGUUGAAACUGGCGUUCUUGAGGGGGCGAGAGGUAGGUGGAACGCGGGGUGUAGCGGUGAAAUGCAUAGAUAUCACGAAGAACUCCGAUUGCGAAGGCAGCAUACCGGCGCCCAACUGACGCUGAAGCACGAAAGCGUGGGGAUCGAACAGGAUUAGAUACCCUUGUAGUC